AAGUUAGAGAACCGGACCAAGCGAAAUACAGGGGCAGAGGAGGCAGCAGGGAGGCCCUGGGAGCUCUUUGAAUCCCCAGGUAGCCUAUUCCUGCCUGGCACCACUGGGAUUCAUCAGGAGGGAGGCCAGAGGAGCAGGAGGUGGGAGGCGGAAAGCCUCGGGCAAGUUUUCAAGCCCGUCCUCUGUCUGGAAACAGACUCAGAGGUGUUGCAGGGGACACGGUGGGAGUGAGACCAGCCCUUCGGUGUGCGUGGGAUCUGGGGGAGGCCUGUGACUGCCGGCUUUCCCCUGCUUCUCUGACAACCUGCAUGACUCAGCAGAGGCAGCCAUAAUCCUGGAGAGCCCCGGUUUAAGAUCUCCAGGUGAAGUAGAUUUUUAUUGUUUUGGUAUCAGAAUGAGUCUGCCUUCAAACAAUAAGUGAGGGAAGAGUCCCUCCUUCUCAACUUUUUGGAAAAGUUUCAGUAGGUACCAGAUCUUCUUUAGACAUCUGGUAGAAUUUGGCUGUGAAU
rnacentral:lncRNA from 1 species